AUUGUGCGCGAACAAUGAGCUACGCGUGUUAUCGAUGCGUUGUCCAAGCAAUUUCCACCUUUUUCACUUUCUGGCCUUUGUCAGCUCGUUACGGCUGCUGUUUUCUCAGUUCCCUUUAUUUUUGGUUUCCUGAGUCAGUUGUGCCUUCUUGUGUGUGUGGCGUGGUGUGGUUUUUGUUGUUCCUCGGGCGCUGCGGGUUGUCCGGCGGCGAAGACGCCGCUGACCUGCCGCUAACCCAUUGAGUGGCGCCCGGCCCAGAGUUGCUGACCCGAAGGCAGUCGAGGCAGGUGCACUUGAAGAAAAUACCCCAAAGUACUGGCCAAGUGUCUUGGGAACGCCCCCUUUGGGAAACUUUUGUUUGGGCAGUGUAAUUAGGAAUGGAAUGAAAUACAAGCGCUUGGGGCCCACAAUGUGUCAUUUUAAUGCGGCUCGAAAUGAUUUUUAUUGUGCUCAUUUGGGCUGUUCGGUUACACUUGUGGUCUCCGCUGCAGCUCCCCACUUGUCCCCGAUCCGCAGCGCUGGAAAUCUUCGGGAAUGGAAGAAAAGAGUCGUAAACAUUUAUUAGUUACGGCUCAUUUCGGGGCGCAAAGGCAAACAAAUAAACAAACAAACAAAUAAACGCCCAGAACGAGUCGAGAUCAUCGAGGAUCGACCACGUCCACAUCCACAUAGCCACCUGCCGAUCGAGCGAUCAGACAUCCUUUCACUUUUAAUGAACCUAAUGAACAGCCGCAUAAAUCAUCGUUCGAGGAGCGCACGAAUGUCGAAUGUUUGUCGCGUUCAUUAAAUAAAAACACGGCCACGCCCAUAAAUACCGGA